ensembl:snRNA U6 U6 spliceosomal RNA
UUGCUUCAGCAGCAUGUACAGUAAAAUUUGAACAAUACAGAGCAGACCAACACAACCCCAAUGCAAGGAUGACAUGCAAAUUCUUGAAGCGUUCCAUAUUUUU